rnacentral:rRNA from 1 species
UACGAAGGGGGCUAGCGUUGCUCGGAAUUACUGGGCGUAAAGGGCGCGUAGGCGGCACUGUUAGUCAGGCGUGAAAGUCCUGGGCUCAACCUGGGAACUGCGCUUGAUACGGCAGAGCUAGAGGAUGGAAGAGGCUCGCGGAAUUCCCAGUGUAGAGGUGAAAUGCGUAGAGAUCGGGAGGAACACCAGUGGCGAAGGCGGCUACCUGGACCAGCACUGACACUGAGGCACGAAAGCGUGGGGAGCAAACAGG